rnacentral:rRNA from 1 species
UGGGGAAUAUUGCACAAUGGGGGAAACCCUGAUGCAGCGACGCCGCGUGAAGGAAGAAGUAUUUCGGUAUGUAAACUUCUAUCAGCAGGGAAGAAAAUGACGGUACCUGACUAAGAAGCCCCGGCUAACUACGUGCCAGCAGCCGCGGUAAUACGUAGGGGGCAAGCGUUAUCCGGAUUUACUGGGUGUAAAGGGAGCGUAGACGGCAUGGCAAGUCUGGUGUGAAAGGCAGGGGCUCAACCCCUGGAUUGCAUUGGAAACUGUCAGGCUGGAGUGCAGGAGAGGUAAGUGGAAUUCCUAGUGUAGCGGUGAAAUGCGUAGAUAUUAGGAGGAACACCAGUGGCGAAGGCGACUUACUGGACUGUAACUGACGUUGAGGCUCGAAAGCGUGGGGAGCAAACAGG